CGCACUUUCAAAGCGUGAGAUUGUUUCUGAUUAAAAAAAUUAAAAAUUAAAAAAUUAAAAAUAUUUUGUUAAGUUUUGGUUAGGAUCAAUCAAAAUAUUUGUAUUCGAAGAACCGAAUCAAACCCGUAAAGUACACCAAACCCGAACCACAUUGGGAAAAUACUUGAAUGGUCUAAAACAAUAAUAUUUGAAUAGAUAGAACCAUACAUAGCUUGAGUCAAAAUAUU
rnacentral:lncRNA from 1 species